rnacentral:rRNA from 1 species
GAUGAACGCUAGCGGGAGGCUUAACACAUGCAAGUCGAGGGGUAAAUGGCAGCAAUGCUAUGAGACCGGCGGACGGGUGCGUAACGCGUAUGCAACAUACCUUGUGCAGGGGGAUAGCCCGUGGAAACGCGGAUUAAUAUUCCAUAGGCCAGUAAUACUGCAUAGUAUAACUGGUAAAGAUGAGUCGGCACAAGAUUGGCAUGCGUCUGAUUAGCUAGUUGGUAGGGUAACGGCCUACCAAGGCGACGAUCAGUAGGGGUUCUGAGAGGAACAACCCCCACACUGGUACUGAGACACGGACCAGACUCCUACGGGUGGCUG